rnacentral:rRNA from 1 species
UGCAUGGUUGUCGUCAGCUCGUGUCGUGAGAUGUUGGGUUAAGUCCCGCAACGAGCGCAACCCUCGACCUUAGUUGCCAGCAUUCAGUUGGCACUCUAAGGUGACUGCCGGCUAAAAGUCGGAGGAAGGUGGGGGAUGACGUCAAAUCAUCAUGCCCCUUAUGACCUGGGCUACACACGUGCUACAAUGGGCGGUACAAAGGGUCGCGAACCCGCGAGGGGGAGCCAAUCCCAAAAAGCCGCUCUCAGUUCGGAUUGCAGGCUGCAACUCGCCUGCAUGAAGCCGGAAUCGCUAGUAAUCGCGGAUCAGCAUGCCGCGGUGAAUACGUUCCCGGGCCUU